UUGCUUUUCUUAAAAAUCUUAUUAAUCACAAUUUGUAUUAUCAAUGCGGAUUUAUAUUUGUUUAUAAAAAGUAUUAUAGAUCAGUUUUACUUUGCAUGUACAAAGUUAAAAACGCACUGUUUGUAAUCAUGAUGAAACGUUUUCUUCUUUGUUUGAUGGUAGUGGCUUUGGUAAUGCCGGUUUUAACAAAACCAACAGACGAUGUAAAAACCUCAUCGACCUUGCAUAGUGGUGAAAAAACUGGUGGAGAAAAUAUGGACACUGCUGAAUCCGCCGUCUUUCUACCUCGAUUUACUUAUAGAAGAACACAAAGUCAAAGAUAUAGAUUCUAAAGUCUAUGACUUCUCAAAUUACAAGUAGGAGCUUCAUAUUUUCUAUAAUUUUGUCUUCAUUUGUGUGUAAUUACAUGUUAAUAAAUAAAUACUUACAUUUAAUAUAAAAUAAAUAUUUUGAACUUUAUUUAGCUAGA